GAGCAGACUCGCAGCCUCGUAGGUAUCGAACAAGAACAACAACGCCUCCACCCUCACCCUCUUCCCUCCGGCUGUCCUCCUCCCUCCAGCGACCACCUCACCGUCCUCCCUGCAACGGAAGGAACCAAGCAGAAGGUUUGUAAUAUUUAGCGAAACUGCAAUGGAAGGAACCAAAUAGAAGGUUGUGUUAUCGAUUCCGGUGGCGAAAAGCUGAGGAAUUUGGGGUAAAUCAGGGAAAAUUGGAAAGGGUCAGAUGGCUAAACCUAGGGUUCUUGCAAUCACCAGUAAGUUUUCUCUUUGUUUUUUUUUUAUUAUUGUUUUUGUUUUGAUCACACUUUGUUAGAGAAAUUUAGUGGUGGUUUACUUGAUUAAUUGAUUUGGCUGCUUGUGAUGUCCUUUAUGAAACCCAAGUUCGGGUCUUGUGAUGUGCUUAAUUGAUUUGGAUGCUUGUGAUGUGCUGAAUUGAUGUGGCUGCUUGUGAUGUGCUUUAUGGAACCCGAGUUUGAUUUAUUGAUUUGGCUGCUUUGUUAGAGAAAUUUAUUGUUUUCGUUUGGAUCACACUUUUGAUCUUUAACUCUCUUAAGAAAGAAGACCUAUGGCUUGCUAGUCCAAAUAACUGUAUCAUUCAUGUAGAGUGCCAAUGAAUGCCCGUUCAAUUCAAUUCUAUUAUCAUCUAGUCCAUAUAAAUUUAUUUGCCUGCAUAAAACAAGUCAAACAUGUGAAAAUAUUAUCAAUGAAGCGAGAAGAACUGAACAUGGUUUGUUGAACACAUUACUUCCUGAACCGCCGACAUUUUGUGACACUAGUGUGAAUAAGAACGCAAACUAAGGCACCAUUAACCACUGACUUGCUUAUGUGUAUGAGUUCAUUGUAUCGUAUUUUUAUUAUGUGAUGAACCUUACCGGAUCCGAACCAUCGAACCGACCUGAAUUUUUUAUGUCAGUCAUAUCAUUGAAACAUCUAUAAAAGUGAACCCAGUGAAAAAAAUUCCUGGAUCCGCCACUGCAAGAAAGAUAGUGGAAUAAAGAUGUAACAUGGUAUACUGAAGCUAACAAGUUGGAUGAAUCAAAUGCUCCUUUCUACUUCAACGGAGCAACCACCUACUUAGAAUUAGGAUGGUAUGCUUUUAGUGUCUGUAGAUUUUUUUUAAUCUCACUUAGAGGUGUUCACGGUCCGAUUUUGAUGGUCCUUAGAAGCCAAACCGUUUAUUAAAUAAAUCUUUACUCAUUUUAAUUAACCUAAAAGUUUCUCAUGCUCCAACUGUUAAAUUUAGGGCAUUUAAUCACUUUUCUUGGUAAUUUUAUCUUCUCUUGAAAAUAGACACUAUCAAUUAUUUCUUAAUAAUCAAAAUGAAAAUUAUGGACAAAUGCAUUUGUGGAUAAGUUUUUGGAUUUUAUCAUAUAACUAAGAAUAAGUGUACAUGAUGUCUAAGUGACAAAGAAAGUAAGUGUAGAUAAGAUUUUGGAGAUUGGAUUGCCAACUCAAAUAUGAAUAUUGUCAAAAUCGAACUAUAUAAAUUAGGUAAACGAAGACAAGCUAACUAACACGUGGUUAUUAUGAUGCUCAAAAGAUAAAAAGAUAUUGCUUAUUUUAUUAUGAAUGUUUUAAUUUAAUAUAAUUCAUUUUUAAAUCGUUAAAAUUAAAAGUUUUGAAUAAAAAGAAAAUCGUUUAAAAAAUAAAAUUCAAUCAGGUGUUAAAUAAACCCGACCUAAUUUAUCCAAGGGUGUGGCUAAAUGCACCCCUAUUUUUACUUUUCAUACCUCCUUUCUAAAAAUAUCAUUUUAAAACUUUUCAAAUUCCAUCCCUUUAUAAAUUCAUUCCUCAAACUUUUUACACGAACUCACAACCAAUACUCUCUUUUCUUCUAAAUUUAUAAUCUGUAAAUCUGCAACUUGCUUGGGUCGGGUCUUGUUGCUUCAUGCCCGUAUAGCCCCCUCGUAGAGAAUUAAUAGGGAGAUCACAAUUCCAACCAACCAAAUACUGUACAUCGUCAAGGAUAAUGACUUCAACUUCAUCACUUUUUAAUGGGUUUUUCCAACCCAUUUGAUAAUAAUCAAUGGAUUAUCUAAAUAUCUAAAUUCUAGGUCUGAUUGGCAUGAUUCCAAUACUAAAUCUUGAAAAAUAAAGCAUAUAAUUUGAUGAACGAGAAGGUUUUGUGAAUGGUUUUUUGGUGGUGUGAUGUGUUGGAUAAACUGAGUUGUUGAAGGCAGUAGGCAUACCCAAAAGUUAAAUGUAUGAAUUAAAUCUGAAUCUGGUGUUUGAUUGACAUUUGGGUUUUGCGUUUGAUGCAUGAUGUGCAGAUUCACAGAGAAUAAAAUGUUUAUUUUUUUAAGAUACUAUGAGAUGGAGUUUGAAUUGUGAGAAAUUGGAGGUAAAAUUACGUUAUUGUUGUUUCAUUUGAUCGCAAUUCUUCAAUUUCUUUUAGGUUAUGGAAUUUGGUCAUGGUGUAGAAUUAACAGAGAAAUUGGAGGAGUUGCAGAGUAGCUAUAGAUUGUCAACUAAAGGAAGCUUUAAUGUUGAUUUACAAUGACUAAUGAGGCAUACACACCUUCACAACCGAAUGACUGCAAAACGCGUGUCAGCAAUGGCAAGCAGAUACUAGAUACUG
rnacentral:lncRNA from 1 species